rnacentral:rRNA from 1 species
CACGUAGGCACCAAGCGUUGUCCGGAUUUAUUGGGCGUAAAGAGCUCGUAGGCGGUUCGGUAAGUCGGGUGUGAAAACUUUGGGCUCAACCCAAAGCCUGCACCCGAUACUGCUGUGACUUGAGUCCGGUAGGGGAGUGGGGAAUUCCUGGUGUAGCGGUGGAAUGCGCAGAUAUCAGGAGGAACACCGGUGGCGAAGGCGGGUCUCUGGGCCGAUACUGACGCUGAGGAGCGAAAGCGUGGGGAGCGAACAGG